rnacentral:rRNA from 1 species
AACCAGCACCCUCAAGUGGUCAGGAUGAUUAUUGGGUCCGUAAACGCAUCCGUAGCUCGUUUUGUUAAGUUUUCGGUUAAAUCCAUACGCUUAACGUAUGGGCUGCCGGGAAUACUGCAUAACUAGGAAGUGGGAGAGGUAGACGGUACUCGGUAGGAAGGGGUAAAAUCCUUUGAUCUAUUGAUGACCACCUGUGGCGAAGGCGGUCUACCAGAGCACGUUCGACGGUGAGGGAUGAAAGCUGGGGGUAGCAAACC